GCAAACCAGCUGCUGGAUAAGUUUCAGUCAAAAGAGAGUGCGCAGGCAGCCCUGCAGGACAUUGAGAAACUGAUGGAGACAGAUCCUUCAGUGCUGCGGUCUAGCCCAGACUUUCUUAGUCUGGAAUUUGAAGCAAUAAUCACUCCACAGUUGCAGCCACGUAAUGAAGGAGCUGAUUGAGACGGAGAGAAUUUAUGUGGAUGAGCUUCUGUCUGUUUUGCGGGAUAUUUCUUCAGGACCUCGAGAGCUGCUUAGAGACCCCAGAGAGAGUGGGAGAGUGCUUUCUGGAACGGGUGAGCCAUUCUGUGGCAAACAUAUAUACUGCAUAUGUAAAGACAUUACAAAAGAUUAAAAGUUACAAGAUAUAAAGCUACAAAAGAUUUUCUAUUUUUAAAAAUAAUGCUGUUU